GUGAGGAAUAUUGCGCAAUGGAGGCAACUCUGACGCAGCCAUGCCGCGUGCAGGAAGAAGGCGCUACGCGUUGUAAACUGCUUUUAACCGGGAAGAAACCCCAGGACGUGUCCUGGGUUGACGGUACCGGAGGAAUAAGCACCGGCUAACUUCGUGCCAGCAGCCGCGGUAAUACGAAGGGUGCAAGCGUUAUCCGGAUUCAUUGGGUUUAAAGGGUGCGUAGGCGGAGCGUUAAGUCAGUGGUGAAAUCCUGCAGCUUAACUGUAGACUUGCCAUUGAUACUGGCGCUCUUGAGUGCGCUUGAAGUGGGCGGAAUGUGCCGUAUAGCGGUGAAAUGCUUAGAUAUGACACAGAACACCAAUUGCGAAGGCAGCUCACUAAGGCGAUACUGACGCUGAGGCACGAAAGCGUGGGGAUCGAACAGGAUUAGAAACCCGGGUAGUCC
rnacentral:rRNA from 1 species